AGGAUAAUUAAAGAACUCAAGAAUAAGUUAACUAUGACCAUUUGAGAGAAAGAGAACCCUUUACCAAGUGGGACCCAUUACUCCAUAUGAUAAUUAAGCCAAUACUAAACAUUUCCCUCAUUUGUGAAGAAUCAGAACAACAUCUUGUUUCAUUUCUUUCUCUCCCUCGUUCUUCAACCUCACGCCCCUCCUCCAUAACCCAUGUUUCAUUCUUCUACCCAAAAGGUUGCAUGUACUCUUUUCUAGUUAACUCUUAGUCAUUGAGCUAUAACAAAGGAUUUGAGACUCCAAAUCAUUCAUUCUUUCUCUAGUACGGGAAAUUAAUCCCAAAUCCAUCUCCACAAGAUCUUCAAAACCCUUUCCAUUAAAUUGAAGAAAAUCAGAGGUGUUUAUGGUGUUGAUUGCAUGUGCAAAUUCUGGAACAAAUUCUCAAUCAGCAGCAUGAUAAAGGAAGAGUAAGUAAUAGAGUUAAUUCUUCAAAUUCCUUAUUCUCACAAGUCCAUUCUAUGUGGUGUUAAAGAUGAUUUAUAGGAUUUAAUUAGUUCCAUUUUGGUACUUGCAUGUAAGAUUCCAAGGAGAGAAGAUCAUGGGUAUUUGAGUAGAAGUAGUUGAGAGAUCAAAGAUUAAGGAAGCUAAAAACUUGCAGAAGUUGGAAAGGACUUGGGAUUUAAGAAAUUAUUAUGGAAAAGUGAUUUAACAACCUUAAUGAACUAUUGUUGUUGCUGUACUGUGGUCUGAUGUUGUUGUUAAAACUGAUUGGUAUGAUUAGAAUGGUUAUGGCUUAAUUCUAUGGAAUUUUAGUGAAAAAUUCGUAUGACAGUACAGGUACUAAUCGAGUCAUAGCUGUUGCUGUGUAGCCCAGACUUGUGUAAUUGUUGGAUUUUCGGAUUCUACACUUAAUUCCCUUCAGUUUGGAUAUACGUUUGAUAUGUUUUGGAUUAGAAAUGGAUUCGGAAAACGCGUUUGAAGUUUGAAUAUUGAUGUUGGAAACUGCAUACGGGUUUUGGCAUGGAUUUUGCAGAAUAAGCUAAAAUGUGUGUUUAAGUUGGGUGAAUGAUUCCAGAACUGAAUAUGUAUGCUUAAUUGGCUGAGUAAGAGCUUGGUUUGAAGUUGAAAUGAAAAAAUUAGAGGUUGGAAGUCAGUAGCAGUUUUAUGCAGAAAAUCUGUCACGAGUUUGCAUAUGUGAGCAGCACCAUCGGAUGGUUCUAAGCGGGCGAGAUGGCUGGUUAUUGCUAGCAAUUUCAGAUAAACAGGUUGAUCGAGAUAUCAUGGUCUACAAGCAUGGAGUUCAGAUACUUGGAUUAUGCUAGUUGAGCUGACGUCAUGUUAUCUUAUAUUUUGUAUAAGAUUUAGUUUCUUUAUGUUUUCAGUUGUUAGCUCAAUUUAGUAUUAAUCUCUUGGAUUUUGUAAUCCUAUUUGUGUAUUCGGCCGAUAUGCAAUGAAAAUUUAAUGUUUCCCGAUUCAGUUAUGUACACUCUUGUCGAUAUUCUAGAUAAAAUGACAUGGGGUGUUAUAAUUGGUAUCAGAGCAGGUCGAUUCUUCAUCGGACCUUGCUGCGGAUCAAUAAAAUUCAAUCAUAAGUAGUAUGAACCUUUUGGAGUCUGGACUGUUUACGCUGAAACCAUUGCGUGCUGAGCCUGAUCAACUCAGUAUCGCGUAUGGUAGGCAGGGUAGUACGGUUGAGAACCGAAGUGGAACCAGGAGGUCAAGCAGUAAGAACGCAGUAGGAGUGUGAACUCAGAAGGGAGUAUGAACGAAUAUCGUUAGAAGCUAAUAUUGGAACUGUAGCAGUCGAUGCCACAAGAGUAAGUUGAGUAACGCCAACAAGUGGCGCGCAGAAUUGGGAAAAUUACGUGGCGUAAUACCAGUAGUAAGAGGCAUGUCAAGAGAUGCACGAACCAGACGCGCUCAACUGACGGUAGCAGGUUUAAGGAUACGGAGAAUUCUGGGAAUGGAAAACCGGUAUCAAAGUAAGUUUUGAUCGGAGUAGAACCGAGACUGUUUAUUGAAGUACGAUACCGGAUAAUUGUACUACGUCUGAUGGGUGCAUUAAUAUGGAGAAUGAAAUUAUGAGAACGGCGCAUGUAUGUAUUAUGUGAACCUAAUAACCAGAAGCACUUAAUUCAAAUAAGACUUAUCAAAAGUCAGUGAACCGAACUCUUUCAAAUUCGUCAAACCUUCAUUUCAGCUCAGUAGUUUUCCCAGAGACAUAGGUCAAUUGACUACACUAUUAGAGAAAGACAAACUAUACUUCAAACAUUCCUUUAAUUCCUAAUGUCAGUUUGUUGUACCAUUCUCGUAGAAUGAGAAUCAAGUUUGUCCCAAUUCAAGAGAACUGUCGGUGGAAAUAAAUCAUGAAGCAUGAACAUACACCGGCAGAAUCAGGAUUUUCAAUUACCUACCCUUUCACGUGAACUAUAAAUCAGCUAAAUUCAUCGAAUCGAUGUGAUGCAUGAUUCGUAAUCAGCCAACCUUGUUAAGUUAUGAACAUUACAUUCCUCAAGCCUAUCUCAUUUUGAUAGAGAGAUAAAUUCUUCCGGUGCUUUGCGAUCUAUCACUUACAUUUAGCGUAAAAAUUCAAUUAAGUUGCGAAUCUUUCUAAUUCCUCAAUAUCAGUGAAUUAGAUUCACAGUUAGAAUGUUAUCCUUAUGUAACUCUGACGAAAUGUCUUCAGCUUUUCACCUUUGUUAUCAGUAUUCAGUUUGGACCUAUGUAAAGUUGAAUGGCUUGUUAAGAGUAAUGAGUUGUGUUCCUUUAAAGGACUAUUAGUUAUUCAUGUUGACCUUCAGAGCAGUAACCUUAUGUUUACCAUCAAGAAAUUCUUCAAUCUUCUAGUUUCAUUACUGAUGACCGGUUCAUAAUCACAUAAGUCUAAUUAAUUAUGUAGGGUCAUGAGUAAUUUUAGUUCAAGUUCUCACGUGUCUUGUUAAUAUGUUAAUCAACAAGCAACCUAGAGUUAGUCAACUCAAUUAGUAGUAGCAUCACCAUCGGUAAAUCGAGACAAUUGUGUUUUACUUUCCCUUAGCGACCAGUCUAUUUUAGACAACUCGUUAUCGCAAAAUUGCAUCAGAGAAUUCUAUCCAAAUCUUACCUUAAUUAAGUUAGGGGACUCAUCAUAAGAAGUAACCUCAAUGAACACUGAUGGAAUGAGAAAAUCGUAAGCGCUAUGCAACAAUGAGGAGACUUUGAGUAUGUAAUAAUUGUAAUAGAUAAGGAGUGAAGUGGUGCAGAUAUGUUAGAUUUUGGUGAAGUAUUUAUACAGUGGUGCAUCGGAAGUCACUAUUGAUGCGAGUAUUACUUUGAAACGUUUACGGUACAAGAAGUAAUAACAAUAUGAGUAACGCCGGAUAAGAUGAGACAAUGUGUGACAUUACCCGGGAAUUGUAGACCGAGGUUGGAAUGACGCAGUCAGAAGAUAAUGGUAAAAAGUUGAUAUCAGAGUGCGCAGCAAGUAAUGGUGGAGAAUGCAGUCAGCAGGUUGGUCUUUAGGCCAACAACCAUUUAGGAAGAAGAAAGUUUUAUUCCAAGGAAUUGGAUGUGGAAGACGGUAAGAUAAUUAAAAGAACGUAUGACGAGUAAGUUACACAUAUGUUCAUGUUUGAACUUGGGAUUGUUAGUAAUGGAGUACCCUUGAGAACAAAGAUUGUGAAGGGAGAACGAUUCAACUCAUAAGGUUAAUGCGGUGAACUAGUAAGAACAAGUGGGCUCCGGUAUUAAUUUGAAGAGUAAGGAAAAAGGAAAUGUUGCGUUGCGAACGGUUGUACCGAGGAAAAUAACAAAAAGUGCUAAUAUAAGAUGGGCGUGCACCUAUAAGUCGUAUUAUGGGAUGAGAUCAUGAGUUCGAUGUAUGAAAUGAACAAGCUGGAUUUUCAAAAGUAACAUAAACAAAUGCUAUUGCAGCGAAGUAUGGGGUUAAUAACCUUGAAGGACGAAUCAUGAUCUGUUAAGAAAUAAAGUCUAGACAAUUUGCUUUGGUGAUGAAUGAAGAAGUUUUUGAAUUUCGCGGACGAAAUUCUUUUAAGGGGGAUAGAUUGUAACAUCCCAACGUUAAUUAAUAGAGAAAUAUUAAUUAGAGUUGAUUAUUGGAGACUAAUUAAAAAUAAGUGAACAAGUAUACAGGAUAAUUAAAGAACUCAAGAAUAAGUUAACUAUGACCAUUUGAGAGAAAGAGAACCCUUUACCAAGUGGGACCCAUUACUCCAUAUGAUAAUUAAGCCAAUACUAAACAUUUCCCUCAUUUGUGAAGAAUCAGAACAACAUCUUGUUUCAUUUCUUUCUCUCCCUCGUUCUUCAACCUCACGCCCCUCCUCCAUAACCCAUGUUUCAUUCUUCUACCCAAAAGGUUGCAUGUACUCUUUUCUAGUUAACUCUUAGUCAUUGAGCUAUAACAAAGGAUUUGAGACUCCAAAUCAUUCAUUCUUUCUCUAGUACGGGAAAUUAAUCCCAAAUCCAUCUCCACAAGAUCUUCAAAACCCUUUCCAUUAAAUUGAAGAAAAUCAGAGGUGUUUAUGGUGUUGAUUGCAUGUGCAAAUUCUGGAACAAAUUCUCAAUCAGCAGCAUGAUAAAGGAAGAGUAAGUAAUAGAGUUAAUUCUUCAAAUUCCUUAUUCUCACAAGUCCAUUCUAUGUGGUGUUAAAGAUGAUUUAUAGGAUUUAAUUAGUUCCAUUUUGGUACUUGCAUGUAAGAUUCCAAGGAGAGAAGAUCAUGGGUAUUUGAGUAGAAGUAGUUGAGAGAUCCAAGAUUAAGGAAGCUAAAAACUUGCAGAAGUUGGAAAGGACUUGGGAUUUAAGAAAUUAUUAUGGAAAAGUGAUUUAACAACCUUAAUGAACUAUUGUUGUUGCUGUACUGUGGUCUGAUGUUGUUGUUAAAACUGAUUGGUAUGAUUAGAAUGGUUAUGGCUUAAUUCUAUGGAAUUUUAGUGAAAAAUUCGUAUGACAGUACAGGUACUAAUCGAGUCAUAGCUGUUGCUGUGUAGCCCAGACUUGUGUAAUUGUUGGAUUUUCGGAUUCUACACUUAAUUCCCUUCAGUUUGGAUAUACGUUUGAUAUGUUUUGGAUUAGAAAUGGAUUCGGAAAACGCGUUUGAAGUUUGAAUAUUGAUGUUGGAAACUGCAUACGGGUUUUGGCAUGGAUUUUGCAGAAUAAGCUAAAAUGUGUGUUUAAGUUGGGUGAAUGAUUCCAGAACUGAAUAUGUAUGCUUAAUUGGCUGAGUAAGAGCUUGGUUUGAAGUUGAAAUGAAAAAAUUAGAGGUUGGAAGUCAGUAGCAGUUUUAUGCAGAAAAUCUGUCACGAGUUUGCAUAUGUGAGCAGCACCAUCGGAUGGUUCUAAGCGGGCGAGAUGGCUGGUUAUUGCUAGCAAUUUCAGAUAAACAGGUUGAUCGAGAUAUCAUGGUCUACAAGCAUGGAGUUCAGAUACUUGGAUUAUGCUAGUUGAGCUGACGUCAUGUUAUCUUAUAUUUUGUAUAAGAUUUAGUUUCUUUAUGUUUUCAGUUGUUAGCUCAAUUUAGUAUUAAUCUCUUGGAUUUUGUAAUCCUAUUUGUGUAUUCGGCCGAUAUGCAAUGAAAAUUUAAUGUUUCCCGAUUCA